GAGGAAAGGGCCUCAGCUGGUGCCUGGGGAGGUUUGGGGGAAAUUUCCUGGCUGGAAGGUUGGCUGAGCCUUGGAGCAGCCUGGGCUGGUGGAAGGUGUCACCCCUGGGCAGGCGAUGGGAGGAGGGGAAGGCUGGAUCCAGGUCUGGGGUCAGCUCUGCUGCCCUGCAGCCUUUCAAGGGCUGAGUAUCCCACUCAGUCAGGCUUUAGAGGAAGAUUAAUUGUUCCAAAGCCCGAUUUACAUUUCAAACCCCAGCCCAGGCCCCGUGUGAGAUCAAAGUGAGAGUGGGCUUUGGGUGUAUUGAUCAGAGACCCACGAUGCUGCCUCUUCCUGCCUCCCAUGUCUGGUACGGGAUCAAACAAGACUUUGGGAACAGAAGAACUCUCAGCAUUGUUAUUUUUUCCAGACUUUGAAGGAUUGACACCAGGCUUUAACCCCAGGCACAGCAGAGUCACACCUGACUGUUUGGGAUCUGAUCUCCUGGAGCUCCUAAACUCUGCACCAUCCAUCCUUGCCAAAUCUCCCUGUUCCAUUUGUGUCUCACACUGCUGGGGCUGCAUUCAGCAGCAGCUUUGCUCAUCUAAACACAGGCUUUACCUUGGAGUCCCUGUCCAAGGGGCUCUCUGGGCUGUUCAGGGGAUUUUGACUUCCCCAAAUAAGGAUUUUAACAACGGGCUGGCUCUGGAGCUGCAGUGAAACAGCAGGAGGAGAGCCCCAGCAGCAGCUUCAGGGAAUGAGGUUCCACACACAUUUUGUGUGUCAUCUUUAUAAACAGAGCCCUGGGGGCUUCAGCCACUCCCCAGAGGGGUUUGUGCUCAUCUUCCCACAGGAUCACGGAUCCAACCCUGACCCCCAGCACCCCCAGCCUGGGCAUCCCUGCAGCUCUGGCAGCCUCGGGGCCGUGCCCGUUCCCUGGGGAGCCUGGGCAGUGCCAGCACCUCUGGGAGAAGAACCUUGCCCUAAAUCCAGCCUGAGCCUGCCCUGCCCAGCUCCAGCCGUUAUUAAUUAACAACAACAACAUCUAAUAAAUGAACAUUUUGUUCAUCUUCUGUGAAGAAG
rnacentral:lncRNA from 1 species